GUUAAGCGACUAAGCGUACACGGUGGAUGCCCUGGCAGUCAGAGGCGAUGAAGGACGUGCUAAUCUGCGAUAAGCGUCGGUAAGGUGAUAUGAACCGUUAUAACCGGCGAUUUCCGAAUGGGGAAACCCAGUGUGUUUCGACACACUAUCAUUAACUGAAUCCAUAGGUUAAUGAGGCGAACCGGGGGAACUGAAACAUCUAAGUACCCCGAGGAAAAGAAAUCAACCGAGAUUCCCCCAGUAGCGGCGAGCGAACGGGGAGCAGCCCAGAGCCUGAAUCAGUGUGUGUGUUAGUGGAAGCGUCUGGAAAGGCGCGCGAUACAGGGUGACAGCCCCGUACACAAAAAUGCACAUGCUGUGAGCUCGAUGAGUAGGGCGGGACACGUGGUAUCCUGUCUGAAUAUGGGGGGACCAUCCUCCAAGGCUAAAUACUCCUGACUGACCGAUAGUGAACCAGUACCGUGAGGGAAAGGCGAAAAGAACCCCGGCGAGGGGAGUGAAAAAGAACCUGAAACCGUGUACGUACAAGCAGUGGGAGCACGCUUAGGCGUGUGACUGCGUACCUUUUGUAUAAUGGGUCAGCGACUUAUAUUCUGUAGCAAGGUUAACCGAAUAGGGGAGCCGAAGGGAAACCGAGUCUUAACUGGGCGUUAAGUUGCAGGGUAUAGACCCGAAACCCGGUGAUCUAGCCAUGGGCAGGUUGAAGGUUGGGUAACACUAACUGGAGGACCGAACCGACUAAUGUUGAAAAAUUAGCGGAUGACUUGUGGCUGGGGGUGAAAGGCCAAUCAAACCGGGAGAUAGCUGGUUCUCCCCGAAAGCUAUUUAGGUAGCGCCUCGUGAAUUCAUCUCCGGGGGUAGAGCACUGUUUCGGCAAGGGGGUCAU
rnacentral:rRNA from 1 species